rfam:Schistosoma rodhaini strain Burundi genome assembly, scaffold: SROB_scaffold0000499
AUCAGCUGACGAGUCCCAAAUAGGACGAAACGCGCAUCCUGGAU